rnacentral:rRNA from 1 species
AGAGUUUGAUCAUGGCUCAGAGCGAACGCUGGCGGCAGGCUUAACACAUGCAAGUCGAGCGGGCGUAGCAAUACGUCAGCGGCAGACGGGUGAGUAACGCGUGGGAACGUACCUUUUGGUUCGGAACAACACAGGGAAACUUGUGCUAAUACCGGAUAAGCCCUUACGGGGAAAGAUUUAUCGCCGAAAGAUCGGCCCGCGUCUGAUUAGCUAGUUGGUGAGGUAACGGCUCACCAAGGCGACGAUCAGUAGCUGGUCUGAGAGGAUGAUCAGCCACAUUGGGACUGAGACACGGCCCAAACUCCUACGGGAGGCAGCAGUGGGGAAUAUUGGACAAUGGGGGCAACCCUGAUCCAGCCAUGCCGCGUGAGUGAUGAAGGCCCUAGGGUUGUAAAGCUCUUUUGUGCGGGAAGAUAAUGACGGUACCGCAAGAAUAAGCCCCGGCUAACUUCGUGCCAGCAGCCGCGGUAAUACGAAGGGGGCUAGCGUUGCUCGGAAUCACUGGGCGUAAAGGGUGCGUAGGCGGGUUUUUAAGUCAGGGGUGAAAUCCUGGAGCUCAACUCCAGAACUGCCUUUGAUACUGAAGAUCUUGAGUCCGGGAGAGGUGAGUGGAACUGCGAGUGUAGAGGUGAAAUUCGUAGAUAUUCGCAAGAACACCAGUGGCGAAGGCGGCUCACUGGCCCGGUACUGACGCUGAGGCACGAAAGCGUGGGGAGCAAACAGGAUUAGAUACCCUAGUAGUCC